rnacentral:rRNA from 1 species
UACGAAGGGGCUAGCGUUGCUCGGAAUCACUGGGCGUAAAGCGCACGUAGGCGGAUUGUUAAGUCAGGGGUGAAAUCCUGGAGCUCAACUCCAGAACUGCCUUGAUACUGGCGAUCUUGAGUCCGGGAGAGGUGAGUGGAACUGCGAGUGUAGAGGUGAAAUUCGUAGAUAUUCGCAAGAACACCAGUGGCGAAGGCGGCUCACUGGCCCGGUACUGACGC